rnacentral:misc_RNA from 1 species
UGAAUCCACAAGCUCUUACACCCUGC